rnacentral:rRNA from 1 species
AAGCUCGUAGUUGAAUUUCGGAGUUUGUCGGUUGGUCGGGCUUCACUGUCCGCACUGGCCUGAUGGAUUCCUACCUUCUGAAUAACCAGCAUGCUAUUAAGUUAGUGCGUUGGGGAAGCAGAGCUAUUACCUUGAAAAAAUUAGAGUGCUUAAAGCAGGCUUAUGCUUGAAUAGAUUAGCAUGGAAUAAUAAAAUAGGACGGCAUGGUUCUAUUUUGUUGGUUUCUAGGAUCACCGUAAUGAUUAAUAGGGAUAGUUGGG